AAAACGACUCUCGGCAACGGAUAUCUCGGCUCUCGCAUCGAUGAAGAACGUAGCGAACUGCGAUACUUGGUGUGAAUUGCAGAAUCCCGUGAACCAUCGAGUCUUUGAACGCAAGUUGCGCCCGAAGCCAUUAGGCCGAGGGCACGCCUGCCUGGGUGUCACGC
rnacentral:rRNA from 1 species